rnacentral:rRNA from 1 species
GACGAACGCUGGCGGCGUGCUUAACACAUGCAAGUCGAACGGGAGGAAAAGAGAAGCUUGCUUCUUUUUGAAUCUAGUGGCAAACGGGUGAGUAACACGUAAACAACCUGCCUUCAGGAUGGGGACAACAGACGGAAACGACUGCUAAUACCGAAUGUGUUCCGGAGACCGCAUGAUUUCCGGAAGAAAGGAUGGCCUCUAUUUAUAAGCUAUCGCCUGAAGAGGGGUUUGCGUCUGAUUAGGCAGUUGGUGAGGUAACGGCCACCAAACCUACGAUCAGUAGCCGGUCUGAGAGGAUGAACGGCCACACUGGAACUGAGACACGGUCCAGACUCCUACGGGAGGCAGCAGUGGGGAAUCUUCCGCAAUGGACGAAAGUCUGACGGAGCAACGCCGCGUGAGUGAUGACGGCCUCGG